AUUGAACGCUGGCGGCAGGCCUAACACAUGCGAGUCGAGCGGAUGAAGGGAGCUUGCUCCUGGAUUCAGCGGCGGACGGGUGAGUAAUGCCUAGGAAUCUGCCUGGUAGUGGGGGAUAACGUCCGGAAACGGGCGCUAAUACCGCAUACGUCCUGAGGGAGAAAGUGGGGGAUCUUCGGACCUCACGCUAUCAGAUGAGCCUAGGUCGGAUUAGCUAGUUGGUGGGGUAAAGGCCUACCAAGGCGACGAUCCGUAACUGGUCUGAGAGGAUGAUCAGUCACACUGGAACUGAGACACGGUCCAGACUCCUACGGGAGGCAGCAGUGGGGAAUAUUGGACAAUGGGAGAAAGCCUGAUCCAGCCAUGCCGCGUGUGUGAAGAAGGUCUUCGGAUUGUAAAGCACUUUAAGUUGGGAGGAAGGGCAGUAAGUUAAUACCUUGCUGUUUUGACGUUACCAACAGAAUAAGCACCGGCUAACUUCGUG
rnacentral:rRNA from 1 species